CUUCUUUGUAACCCAUUCUUUCUCUUGUUCGUAAUUGUUGGUUUAUUGUUUCUGCUUCGGGUUCUUUUAAUCAGGACCGGAUUAAUUUAUAGGACCAAGAAAUGGUGGAGAUCAAUUGAAGAUUGUUUUCAUGUGCAUCAAUUCUUUAAGGUCCCAGAAUUCAACGAAAGCAUGCAGGAGAAUCAAUUUUAUUGCAGAGNCCGUUUAUCUAAACUCUCUGGCUUCCAUCGAGGACUCAGAUUUUACCAACCUCUUCACCAG
rnacentral:misc_RNA from 1 species